rnacentral:misc_RNA from 1 species
GCAAACUUGGUCAUUUAGAGGAAGUAAAAGUCGUAACAAGGUUUCCGUAGGUGAACCUGCGGAAGGAUCAUUAUCGAGUUUUUGAAACGGGCUGUAGCUGGCCUUCUCUUACCGGGAGGGCAUGUGCACGCCUGGCUCAUCCAUUCUUUCACCUCUGUGCACUUUUGGUAGGUUGGCAGAAAAGGCCGACUUUGUCUUUCAAAGUUAGCUGGAAGGCCUUCCUAUGUUUUACUAUAAACACUUCAGUGAUAGAAUGUAUCUCUUUGCGUCAUGAUAACGCAUCUAUAUACAACUUUCAGCAACGGAUCUCUUGGCUCUCGCAUCGAUGAAGAACGCAGC